UUACGACCAUGCGACGUUGAAACAGCAGUUCCCCUACGAUCACUGAAGUUAAGCAACGUUGAUUCAGGUCAGUACGUAGUUAGGUGACCGCUUGGGAAUGCCAGGUUCUGUAA